rnacentral:rRNA from 1 species
AGAGUUUGAUCCUGGCUCAGGACGAACGCUGGCGGCGUGCUUAACACAUGCAAGUCGAACGGAAAGGCCCUUCGGGGUACUCGAGUGGCGAACGGGUGAGUAACACGUGGGUGAUCUGCCCUGCACUUUGGGAUAAGCCUGGGAAACUGGGUCUAAUACCGAAUAUGACCAUGCACUUCCUGGUGUGUGGUGGAAAGCUUUUGCGGUGUGGGAUGGGCCCGCGGCCUAUCAGCUUGUUGGUGGGGUAAUGGCCUACCAAGGCGACGACGGGUAGCCGGCCUGAGAGGGUGACCGGCCACACUGGGACUGAGAUACGGCCCAGACUCCUACGGGAGGCAGCAGUGGGGAAUAUUGCACAAUGGGCGCAAGCCUGAUGCAGCGACGCCGCGUGAGGGAUGACGGCCUUCGGGUUGUAAACCUCUUUCAGCACAGACGAAGCGCAAGUGACGGUAUGUGCAGAAGAAGGACCGGCCAACUACGUGCCAGCAGCCGCGGUAAUACGUAGGGUCCGAGCGUUGUCCGGAAUUACUGGGCGUAAAGAGCUCGUAGGUGGUUUGUCGCGUUGUUCGUGAAAACUCACAGCUUAACUGUGGGCGUGCGGGCGAUACGGGCAGACUUGAGUACUGCAGGGGAGACUGGAAUUCCUGGUGUAGCGGUGGAAUGCGCAGAUAUCAGGAGGAACACCGGUGGCGAAGGCGGGUCUCUGGGCAGUAACUGACGCUGAGGAGCGAAAGCGUGGGGAGCAAACAGGAUUAGAUACCCUGGUAGUCCAA